UACGUAGGGGGCUAGCGUUGUCCGGAUUUAUUGGGCGUAAAGAGCGUGUAGGCGGCCAGAUAGGUCUGCUGUGAAAACUCGAGGCUCAACCUCGAGAUGUCGGCGGAAACCAUUUGGCUAGAGUCCGGAAGAGGAAAGUGGAAUUCCCGGUGUAGCGGUGAAAUGCGCAGAUAUCGGGAAGAACACCCGUGGCGAAGGCGGC
rnacentral:rRNA from 1 species